rnacentral:rRNA from 1 species
GGCCCGCCAGAUUAUUACAAGUAAAAACUUAAAACUCAAAGGACUUGACGGUGUCCCACACACAACCUAGAGGAGCCUGUCCUAUAAUCGAUGAUCCACGAAGGACCUCACCACCCUUUGCCAAACAACCUAUAUACCGCCGUCGAAAGUUCACCUUAUGAGAGGAAAAAAGUGAACAUAAUAGCUCAACACUAACACGUCAGGUCAAGGUGUAGUUAAUAGGGUGGCCAGAGAUGGGCUACAUUUCCUACAAAAGGAAAAACGAACGGCCAAAUGAAAACUAGCCAGAAGGAGGAUUUAGUAGUAAAGCAGGAUCAGAAAGCCUGCUUGAACACACUGCCCUGGGACGCGUACACACCGCCCGUCACCCCCAUCAACGCAC